ACUCUUCAACCCACCAGUUUCUUGUAGACUGAUUGGUGUUUGGAUUUUGAGCGUUGCUCGUCUUCGGAUGCAGCUCGUUCGUAAUACAUUAGCAUCUCUAAUUCGAACUCGGAUUGACUCAGUGUAAUAGACUAUUCGCUGAGGACACGCUCUCGUAGUGUGGCCGAAUGAGAUCUCAGUAGAAGCUUCCAACUACUUUAGUCAACUUUAG
rnacentral:misc_RNA from 1 species